rnacentral:lncRNA from 1 species
CUUUAGACCACACGUACCUCGGUCAGCUGAGGGGGCAAAGGUUUGAGUUUAGACUUAGCAAACCCACAGCGUGAGUGCGAAUAGUUAUUGAAUUCCUAACCAUACCACGUGGAGCAUUGGCUACAUGACUGGAAUUGGUUCAAUUCUGGGACUAUCGAUCCCUACAGAAUAAGAGCAAAUCUUAGAUAAUAAUAACUAGUCUGUAGCUAGAAAUUAUGUCAACCUGGGAUGCGAAGCCCGACAACCGUCAAAACAUCUAUUCUAUGAGAACAUUUCUGAAUGGUACUCUGAAGUAUUCAUUCUAACCAUGAAAGACUUGGAUCUUCAGGGAAGCAGAGAGAGAGAGAGAGACACACUCGGAUGAACUCUCCAACAGAAGGACUGACGAUUCCAACAGAGAUCAUGAUGACACACGGAGGGCCUGAGGCUCUUGGGCUGCAACUGAGGACCCCCUGGCCUGACACAUGGAUGUGCCUAGCCUCAUCCCACCUGGCCUCUUUCUCCCCACAUACCCAGAAAUUUGGAUUCCAUUACUUAGCAUGAUGUCUUUAUGAAAUGCUAUCUGACCAUAGGGUCUUGAAGUGUUAGUACUUUCUCUAUAGUCAUUAUGGAUAUUGUCUGAGCCUGCUGGCCAUUAAUACUGGCAUUGCUCUUUCCUUAUUGAAAUGGGG